CACGCGUCCGGCCGGCCUUUAACAAAAGCGACCACACCGGCGUGAACGGAGAGUUUAGGGCGAGGCGAGGGUUUUUGGCAGGCCGCGAUGCAGACUGCAAGGAGACGAUUCUUGCGGACCCUCCUCUUCGGCCGCUUCCCUCCUCCACCAUCGCCUGCCUCUUCAUCGAUAGCAACCCUCGUUCGCGGAUCGUUGGACAGAUCGCUGCCUUGCGCCACCCUCGCGGCACCGUGGUCCGCACUCCAAAGCCGAGGCGCUAAAGUGCUGGGCACCGAUGUGAGGAUUGGGAAUGUUAUACAAAGAAAAGGUCGUAUGUAUCAGGUACUAAAAGCACAACAUACACAACACGGAAGGGGAGGAGCCACAAUACAGGUGGAACUUCGAGAUGUUGAUACUGGGAACAAAAUAACUGAAAGAUUUCGCACUGAUGAAGCUCUUGAGAGAGUUUUUGUUGAGGAUAAGUCAUUCACAUACCUGUAUCAGGAAGGCGAGUUUGUAAUGCUAAUGGAGCCCAACACGUUUGAGCAGAUUGAAGUGCAGAAGGAGAUGUUUGGCAAGGCUUCUGCCUAUUUAAAAGAAGACAUGACAGUGAGACUGCAGUAUUAUGAUGGAAAACUGAUGUCUGCAUCAGUUCCUCAUCGUGUAACAUGCAAGGUUGUUGAAGCACAACCUAAUAUCAAAGGGCUAACAGCUGCUCCUCAGUACAAAAGGGUUGUAUUGGACAAUGGGCUCACAGUCCAUGCACCACCUUUUGUUGAAACUGGUGAGGAGAUCAUUAUUAAUACAACCGAUGACACAUAUAUUACAAGUGUUUUAAACAGGCACUUAGGUGAGGCGAGGUUCAAGCAUCUUGCGCAGUUGUCGAGCGACGUGCUUCAAUGAAGCGCUUCCUUGGCGCUCGCCUUAGUCGAAGCGCUAGGCGCCUCGGGCAAGUGCCCGAUUAAAGGGCAAAGGAGUAGCAUUUUCGAGGUAAAGCAUGCACCAUAGCCUAUUUAUUGACAGAGGGUGACUAGUUUCCCCAAGUGGCUCUAUCCAGUUAUAUUCCAUUAUGAGUUGUACAAUUGAGAUGCUUACUUUGUAAAAAGAAAUUUACCCUUCUUGUUUGAACUUUUGAGGAAAUUUGAUGAAUAAAAUAUUGAAAUAUUUGCUUAAA